rnacentral:rRNA from 1 species
GAACGUCGUGAGACAGUUCGGUCCCUAUCUGCCGUGGGCGUUGGAGAUUUGAGAGGAGCUGCUCCUAGUACGAGAGGACCGGAGUGGACGAACCGCUGGUGUUCGGGUUGUGUCGCCAGACGCAUUGCCCGGUAGCUAUGUUCGGAUAGGAUAACCGCUGAAAGCAUCUAAGCGGGAAGCCUCCCUCAAGAUGAGAUCUCCCUGGGAACUUGAUUCCCCUGAAGGGCCGUUGAAGACCACAACGUUGAUAGGCUGGGUGUGGAAGCGUUGUAAGGCGUGAAGCUAACCAGUACUAAUUGCCCGU